CCAAUAGCGUAUAUUAAAGUUGUUGCAGUUAAAAAGCUCGUAGUUGAAUUUCGGGGUUUAUACGUUGGUCGGGCUUUUGGGUCUGUACUGGCGUUAUGAAUUCCUACCUUCUGAAUAACCAGCAUGCCAUUAAUUUGGUGCGUCGGGGAAGCAGGACUGUUACCUUGAAAAAAUUAGAGUGCUUAAAGCAGGCUAUUGCCUGCAUACAUUAGCAUGGAAUAAUGAAAGAGGACGGCAUGGUUCUAUUUUGUUGGUUUCUAGGAUCACCGUAAUGAUUAAUAGGGAUAGUUGGGGGCAUUAGUAUUCAAUUGUCAGAGGUGAAAUUCUUGGAUUUAUUGAAGACUAACUUCUGCGAAAGCAUUUGCCAAGGAUGUUUUCAUUAAUCAAGAACGAAAGUUAGGGGAUCGAAGACGAUCAGAUACCGUCGUAGUCUUAACCAUAAACUAUGCCGACUAGGGAUCGGACGAUGUUAAUUUUUUAAUGACUCGUUCGGCGCCUUACG
rnacentral:rRNA from 1 species